ACCCCAUUGUAUUCCGACCUCUUGUUGCCUCGGGGGCGACCCGGCCUUCGGGCGUCGGGGCCCCCGGUGGACCAUCAAACUCUGCAUCUUUGACGUCUGAGUAAAUAUUGAAUCAAUCAAAACUUUUAACAACGGAUCUCUUGGUUCUGGCAUCGAUGAAGAACGCAGCGAAAUGCGAUAAGUAAUGUGAAUUGCAGAAUUCAGUGAAUCAUCGAAUCUUUGAACGCACAUUGCGCCCCUUGGUAUUCCGAGGGGCAUGCCUGUUCGAGCGUCAUUUCACCACUCAAGCCUGGCUUGGUAUUGGGCGCCGCGGUUUGCCGCGCGCCUCAAAGUCUCCGGCUGAGCCAACUGUCUCUAAGCGUUGUGGUUUAAUCAUCCGCUUGCGAGAUCGAAGGCGACGGCCGUUAAACUUAUUCAAAGGUUGACCUCGGAUCAGGUAGG
rnacentral:rRNA from 1 species